rnacentral:rRNA from 1 species
CGUUGGUGGAGUGAUUUGUUUGGUUGAUUCCGUGAACGAACGAGAUCUCAGCCUCUAAAUAGGGGCGGGCAUCGCUACCGGAGAUACACGACUUGGUUGCAGUCAUGCUUCAACGUCGCUCCGGGAUGGCCCGCCGCCUUCUUAGGGGAACAUCGUGCUUAUUGCGCUCGCUGAAGGGAGCCAAUAGCAGGU